UCCCUUGUAGCUCAGUCGGUAAAGAAUCUGCCUGCAAUGCAGGAGACCGGGGUUCGAUUCCUGGGUGGGAA
rnacentral:tRNA from 1 species